GCCGCGGUAGUAUAGUCCGGUCAAGUAUUCGGCCCUCUCGCGGCUGAGACACGGGUUCAAAUCCCGUCCGCGGCA
rnacentral:tRNA from 1 species